UACGGAGGGUGCGAGCGUUAAUCGGAAUUACUGGGCGUAAAGGGUGCGUAGGUGGUUGAAUAAGUUAUGUGUGAAAUACCUGGGCUCAACCUGGGUUGGUCAUAUAAUACUGUUUGACUUGAGUAUGGGAGAGGGUAGUGGAAUUUCCGGUGUAGCGGUGAAAUGCGUAGAGAUCGGAAGGAACACCAGUGGCGAAGGCGGCUACCUGGCCUAAUACUGACACUGAGGCACGAAAGCGUGGGGAGCAAAC
rnacentral:rRNA from 1 species